CCUGAACCUUUAUCUGUUGAUUGUCGACGCCACCGUUCAUAUUGCACUGAGGAGUACAAGCCUCUCUGUGGGUCCGACGGCGUCACCUAUGCUAAUGACUGCAAGUACUGCGCUGCCUGCCGAGAAAAAGGAAGGAAGAUUUUGGUCAGUCAUCGCGGGGCAUGUAAAGGGGGGGGACAGCAGCAGCAGCAGGAGUGGAGACACUGAGAGCCACGCCUCCACUGGUCCUCAACGAGCUGAACCCUGACCCUGACUCUGAACCCUGACCCUGAAUCUGAACCCUGAUCCUAACCCUAACCCUGACCUGAGAUCAGAGGGAAAUGUCAGUAAAGCAUCAAUAAAGCAUCUGUAAAGCAUCA